rnacentral:misc_RNA from 1 species
GUUGUUCCAUUGCCAAUAAUUUCAAACUAAUGCCUUUAAAUAUGUCCAUGUCAUCAACUCCAAGCAACAAUGUCCUUCCUUGAUGAUUAUACUGCUGAACGAGCUCGGCAACUUUUGCCUCCGUCUCAGGGAGACUCAAGACUUGCUGAAGCUGCCCCAUAUGAAUACCCACUGGCAGAAUUUUAAUACUUACAGUCCUGCCGUAGUACUCGAGGCCUAUGUAACCCCUUUUCGACUCAUAAGAAAUGCCUAACAUCCGACUGCAACAUGAGAGGAAGUGCCUCGCAUAGUCAAAAGUGUGGAACCCAAUCAAAUCCGAAUUCAAGAGAGCUCGUAAGAUUUCUUCACGAAUAGGCAAUGUUUUAUAUAUCUCGGAAGAAGGAAAAGGGCUAUGCAGGAAAAAUCCAAGCUUUACUCUAUUGAAUCUUUUCCUCAAGAAGGUAGGCAGUACCAUGAGAUGAUAGUCAUGAACCCACACAAAGUCAUCUUCCGGAUUGAUCACUUCCAUGAUCCUAUCAGCAAAAAUUUUGUUUACAGAAACAUAAGCCUGCCAUAGUAAUCGAUUAAAUCGACCACCUAGAUCAGGCGAAAGGGGCAACAUAUAGUGGAACAAAGGCCAAAGCUGCUGCUUACAAAAUCCAUGGUAGUACUUAGUAAACAGAUCAGGAGGUACAAAAGUGGGAACACACUUAAAUGUCUCGAGAAGUAUUUGUGAAACUUCAUCUUGCUCAUUCGGGUGGAUUUCUUCCUUAAGACAACCAACAUAUAUAACCUCAAUUUCAUCAUCUCCUAAACCAUCUUUCAGCUGGAGAAGA